UAGCCAUGUCAUAUUCUUGAAAGUCCGUUCUUGUUUCGCGUGUCCAAAGAACCAGCGUUUUCGGUUACAAGAGUAAAUAUAUAUAUAUGUAUAUACGUUCAUUUUAUGUUUCCAAGAGGGGAGGCUAGUUGCUUUAUAAAUGCUUAGAGAUGGGCAAGUCGAACUGCGGCAGGGGUCAAUUUAAAUUUAGUUAUUUAGCGUAAUAUGCUCAAAUCAAUAGCACACUUCAGUUCAGUUGUUUUGCAUCAGCGCACUUCGGUUACAAUCUUGCAAAAAAUCAUGAUUCAUCAACAAACUAGUUUAAAAUAGAUGCAAUAGUAGAUACAGCUAUGUCAUGCUGUGGUGAUGAUUUUUUUCGCCUAGCGACAAGAUAAUGAUUAAAAAAUUGCUUCGUUGGCGGAUUUUCUAUUACGUUGGCGAAAUAACGCAGAUUUUUAUUACGUUGGCGAAAUAACGCAAUUCUUUGCUGAAUGCUCAAUGGACAAUACUAAACAAAAAAGUCUUGCGUAUCGCUGCCAAAUGUUGUAGUAAUGAUGUAUAUGAAAGCCUUUCAAUCAUUAUCUCCUUCAGCUUUUUAAUUAAUAAGACAAUUUUGUUUCUGAAUAUUUCACAGCCAUAGGCAGCGCUUUCGUUCUCGUGGAGCUCGCGCGUGUAUACACGACUUGUGUACACGCGCGAACCCCACGAGAACGCAAACGCGAUUUUACCACUAACUACUGGACUGCCUUAUUUCAUGUGACUGAUUUUGAAUAUAACCUUGAUUUCAAUAACUAUAAUCACUAGGAAUCAAUGAUAGUAAUUCUCGACUUCGUCUUGGGACAAGUGUAAAAAGUGUGUAAAUUCCGAUUUGACAAUAAUAAAUUUUGACAUUCCAUUUAUUUGUGGCGACACUUUUAUAAUCAAAUUUGCCACUGUCACCAUGACGUGUACAACACCGCACCAUUUCGAGCAUCAAUAUGAUACUAAAUGCAAUAAUUUAAUCCUGAGAUUAGGUUAGGAUUAGUGUCUGAUUUAGGAUCACAGUUAACCAUAAUCAACCGUGACCCUAAUCUAAGACCAAUCCUAAAUUAAUCUCAAGUAUUCAAUUCGUGUUUUUACCGAUGAUGGAAUUAUUACCAAUACCUUCGUCUUACUAAAUUCCGCCAUCAUGACGAGCAUCCUCGUCAUUAUAACACGAAUAGACACUUCCUGAAUUUGCUGCAUGGAGUUAACACAGAACAAUACCUUGGAAACGAGGCGAACAAUGUAAUCUUUUGUUUGUGGGAUGGUUUUUAUUGUCCUAGAAGAAAUUCGGGAGGUGUCUAUAUAACAAACAAUCACAAUGUUACAAACGCCUUUUAUUCAUAAACACACCUUUUAUAGCACCAUAAAAAUACUGCAUGUCAUUACAGAAAAAAAACCACGAUGAUCACAAUCACCACUAAUUUCACAAGUCCACAGUUUUGCCGAUAUUCAAAUAAAUGAAGCGAUUCACGGGGCUCACUCAUUAAUGUUUCGAAAUGUGAGAAAAUAACACUAAAAAAUUAAAUUGUUUGUGUUGCAAUAUUCCGCCUCUUUGCUUUCCCAGAUUUUAAUUACACACAUUCAUGAUGCUUUCAUUCUAUGCAGACAAAGAAUAAGCUUCAUAAAGCGCUUGUAGAUUCAGCUGCGGCGACCACAAUGAGAAAAUAUUUUUUCCUUAAUACGUCUGCAUAGCAUCUUCUUUCAUGCUUUUAAAAGUAAACCCCUCCUGUCAUAUAGUGGAAGAUUAAUUUAGAAAUUUUAAAACAAGUAAAAGAUGAGCUUAAACGCACAUAAUUUUAAGACAAUUCAAUGAAUCAAAUUAGAAAUGGGUUUAUAUUAAGUGCGGCUGAGUAAAUUAUUUGUACGUUCAGGCAUGAUAGAUUACUGUCGCUCACAUUGAUUUAUUCUGGUCUGAGGCUUCUUAUAGGCCAUUUUAAAUGCAUGUAAACGCAUUAGUUUAUCCAUUCUCGUGUUCGUCUUAACGCACUGAAAGAAAAAUUUGUUUGGAAACAGCGUCAUCAUGAAAAGUGCGUUUGUCUAAUUUGAAAUUAAAGCACGUUUUCGGCUGCAACAGGAGGAAUUAGACGCGAAACGUUUAGACGAUGUACGUCAAACUGAGUAGGACUAUAUUUAAAAACAUGUUGCAAACAGUUCUUACGUCUCAACAAAAAUUACUUACAAUUACUUAAACAAAUUCUCUCGAAAAACCUAUCACACGUUUACAGUCACAAGCAAGAUUUAAAUGUUUUAAAGACCUUAAAUACCAGAAUUCACAGUCAACUUGCAAUUGAUAUUUCAAAAUUAAUACUAAAAAUAUUUCAAUUCUGCUAUUUCAACAGUUUUCAUUGCCCAAUUUUAAUAAAACUUUGCUAGCAUACGUUCAUUUAUGAUAAUUGCGUUUUGUCUCUAGAGCACAUAUUUAAUUAAAAUUCGCCAUUUUCUGUUUGCAGUCACAACUGUCGUCAUCAACUCCGUCAACAACUGCUUGCCGCUAAAAUUAGUCGGCCUGUGAGUCCUCAAAAUGGAAAGACAACACGCCAGAGAAGCGGUCAGACUUCUAAGGGAAAAGAAGGUGGAAGGCGUCGAAAAUCUUCAAAAGAGUGACUCGGAACUUGUUAAAAUCGCCACGGAUAUCGCGUUAGGAUUACAAAGUGGGAAGAUGCCUGAAUGCUAUAAGCUGAUUGAGAAGGAUCUUACCGCCUAUACUGAAGAGCUAAACGGGAAAAGUAAUCUCGGAUCUUCUUCACCAGAGAUAUUUACACAACGUUUGCAUGAGCAAGAUAACUUAGUUGAGGAAGAAAUUAUUGAAUUAACAAGCUCCAGUGAUGAAAAAAGAUCACCGACGGAGUUGAAAAAGAAAAUAUUAUCUGUUGGAACACUCAUCAACUCACUUCCUUCAAAAAACCUUCGUACAACCGCAAGAUCUCCUUCACUUAAUCUAAAACUACCCUUGAUUACAGACAGUUUCAGACGUUCAUCCUCCUUUGCUGCGAUCAAUAGAAACGUUAAAGAACGAUCAGUACGCCAAAGCAAACUUCCAUCGACUGCAAUAGGGCUGCGCUCAGAAAGAGUUAGAAUGGGAGUCGACAGGAACAGGAAAAAGUGCUUUGAAGAUCUGCAAAACCUUGGAAUGGAGAAGUUGAAGAUUUCUUCAGCUUACUGGGAAACCCCUUUUGAUCCACUCAGAGAGCGCGUUCUCACUGAUGAAAAGUUUUUUACGAUCACACGGCAGAAUCUGAAAAUGAGCAGGAUAUAUCUUUAAGCAAGAAAGAAGUUCUUGUACAUACAGACUAUUGGGAAAUAAGAAAAAUUAUGCGUUUUGUUAGGAUCGGUAACCCGACAGCUACAGUCCUGGCACUUUGUGCUCUCAAGGAUCUUGAUAUACAAAAACCUUCAUUUAGUGAAAUAAUUCGUCAUCUUCACGGCAUCACUUUAUUCCUUAAUAUCCUCGAUACUGAUAACCGUCGAUGCAGGGUCGCUGCAUUAAAGGUCCUUUUGUAUUUGUCAAGUUCCCCAAAAACAUCCAACAUCAUUUUAAGGAGAAACGGCAUUCAACAGCUUGUGUCAGUUCUCAGCGAGGAUGACAAAGUUAUUGUGUCUUUGGCGUGUGAUGUUCUCUCGUCUCUGGCCAAACACAGGAACGUUCGUGCGGCUGCAAAUAAAAUAAACAUUAUAGAGAAGCUGAUGUCGGUAUUUAAAGUUUGUGUACCGAAGUUCAACUUGGUGCAAGAUGAUAGGCUGGAAUUAUUUCGCAGUGUUUGUAAUGCUCUGUGGAGUUGUUGCCUCUCGAUCAGAGAUAAAGAUGUCAAGAUUAUAUCAGAAUCAUUGAAUGUCUUUUCCCGUUUGGUGGAAACCCAAGAUGAGGAACUCGUAGUACCUUUGCUAGGAAUUGUUGAAGAGUGUGCAAGUGUGGAAUACUUUCGUAUUGAAUUGGAAAAAGAAAAUUUUAUAGAGAAAGUGAUAGCGAAAAUAGAGGGAAGUGAACGAACUGAAGUCCUUUCUAUCAAGAUUCUUUUCAAGUGUGCUGGUGAUGAGAGGACGCAGAGGACAUUGUUGAAAGCAAACAACGUACAACGAAUAGUGAAGCUUUUUAAACAACAUUGUCAAAGAAAUAACGAGGAAAUGUUAACUUUACUUCCUGGUAUAAUCUGGAGGUGUUCUUUGAAUAAGGAAUACAGGGAAAAGUUUGAAGCUCACGAAAUUUUCCCUCUCGUUUCAAAUAUACUCCAGUCUGAUAAAAACACACAGGUUAAAGGUUCUGCACUAGGUUUGUUAGCAGAACUGCUAUGGAAUGAUGCUUACCUGGAGGCCAUCAGCAAUCAUGAAGUUAUAAACCUUCUGAUCGGUUUCAUGUCGCUAACGGAACCCGCGAUGUUGUUGUACGGCGCACGUUCGCUUGGAGUAUGCGCUCGUAAUAAUGCUCUGAGAAGAAAAAUCUUACAACUUGAUGGUCUACGGUUACUGUGGUCUUUGUUAAAGAAUCCCGACCAGGAGAUUGUUGCAAGUAGCGCCGCAGCCUUGGCGUCUGUUUGUGUGGAACCUGAGGAGUCAGCGAAUGCUGUACGCUCAAUUGUCGGAGGAAUAGAACUUCUUAUGUCGUUAUUAUCCGCUACGGAACUGAAAAGAUACAAAGUUUUGAUAUGUCUGUGUGAAGCUGCAGUGAGCAUCGCAAAAGACGCGGAGAAUCGUUCCAUCUUGGUAGAUUAUGAUUUAAUUCCAGUCCUUCUUAGAUUACGUGAAUCGAAAAGCAAGAUAUUAAGAUACUUCGUUACAAGUCUUAUUUCAAGGUGCUGUGAAUCCUCACGAGAGCGAAAUGUUCUCUCACAAUGUAUACCAUACUUGAUCGAGGGGCUUGGAGACGACUUUGAUGAGCACGUCCACUGUGUGUCCAUCUCAGCAUUAAACAAACUCUCACAUGACUUUGAGAACUGUGAGUUCCUGAGAAACAACAAUACGCCUAAAAUCCUGAUGAAUCUGCUGGCAUCAAGUAACGAAAAGAUACAAGACGCUGCCGCUGAAUGUUUGUCUAAUGUGAGAAAGUCCAUUGUGCACAUGUCACGCGGAUUUAGGAUGCCAAGCACAAGGCAAGGUACCCAAUUUAGUUGUGGUGUAUCUAUAGGGACCCUGCGGCCAAAAUAUCCGUAAAAAACAAGAUACAUUUCGACGAUGGUUCAAAGUUCUGUAAGUGGGAAUGGAACCGAUGAAAACGCUGCAUAAGUCCUUUGUGCAUUUCAUCGACAAGAAAAACGUAAAGAUCGCUAAGAAAAGCUUGGAGCUUCUCCUGAUCCGUGA
rnacentral:misc_RNA from 1 species